rnacentral:rRNA from 1 species
CGCGUAGGCGGCAAAGCAAGUCAGAUGUGAAAUUCCAGAGCUCAACUUUGGAGCUGCAUCUGAAACUACUUAGCUCGAGGGUAGACGGAGAAAACGGAAUUCCACAUGUAGCGGUGAAAUGCGUAGAUAUGUGGAGGAACACCGGUGGCGAAAGCGGUUUUCUAGUUUAUACCUGACGCUGAGGCGCGAAAGCAAGGGGAGCAAACAGGAUUAGAUACCCUGGUAGUCC